CGGCAGGCCUAAUACAUGCAAGUCGUACGGCAACACAGUUGCGAGCAAUCGCAACCGGUGGCGAGUGGCGCACGGGUGAGUAACGCGUAUGUAACCUACCCCUUCUCCGGGACAUAACUCCGCGAAAGCGGUGCUAAUAUCCCAUACCAACUCAUCAAGACAUCUUCUUGAGUUGAAAGCAGCAAUGCGGUGAAGGAUGGGCAUGCGUCCCAUUAGCUGGUUGGUGAGGUAAUGGCCCACCAAGGCUACGAUGGGUAGGGGUUCUGAGAGGAAAGCCCCCCACACUGGUACUGAGACACGGACCAGACUCCUACGGGAGGCAGCAGUAAGGAAUAUUGGGCAAUGGUCGAAAGACUGACCCAGCCAUGCCGCGUGCAGGAUGAAGGCCCUAUGGGUUGUAAACUGCUUUUAUAGUAGAAGAAACACAUCUACGUGUAGAUGUCUGCCAGUAUACUAUGAAUAAGCAUCGGCUAACUCCGUG
rnacentral:rRNA from 1 species